UGUAGAAGGAUGAAAAUUUGACGGAUUACGAUUGAUAUGAUUUAUUUCAUAUAUGAUUUCAUAAUCAGCUACUUCUGACUACA